ensembl:lncRNA
GGGAGGGUGGUCCCAUUGGGGCUUUGUGAGGAGAACCCCACGUGAGGACCUGGGGUACUGCAGCACAGGCACCUGGGUGCUGAGAGGGUGAUGAGAAGUGUGCUGAGCUACUUUGUGAAGCGUGAAGCAGCCUGUCAAAAAGCUGACGCUGUGAAAAUGGGUCAUAAAGAACUACGGUCACCUGGUGAACUUGUGCUGAAAUGUAUUGAAUUCAGCUCGAUUGGCAUCUGCUCUGCGUGCUGCAUCCUGGCUCCUGGCGUCCUGCACGUGCUAUUGGAGAGCCCGGAGCCAGGCUGCUGUUCUCCAGGCAGGAUAGCAGAGCUGCGGCUCUGGAGGAUGAGCUCUGUCGAAGUUCGGCGUUGCUACCUGCAAUGAUGUGGAGCGGCAGCAGAGGACGCACGAGCUCAAUCCUGUCCUCGUCUGAGGGUUUGGGACGGAGGUUGGGGAGUGAAGCCGUGCGAAGUUUGCUGCUGCGUUUCGGCAGAAUCCCUGCCUACACCCCUUCACGUUCUUCAGCAAGGUUGUGCAGUACAAUCCUACUCUCUGAGAACGAGCUGCAGCUUUCCCUUUAAUCGGUACGAAGCGUUUUCUGGCCACAAUUUAUACGUUCAAAACCUAUGGGAAUAUGUAUGUGCAUCUAUCUAUCUGUCAACAUAGAUAGCUAUAUAUAUAUGUACAACAAUGCUAUGUGGUAAUGCUUGCUAACGUUCUCCAGUACUUAUUAGCAACUUAAAUUUAGCAUUUAUACAUUAAUCAUUGAUUUUCAAGGCAAUCUACCCUGUACCCACAGCAGAUCUGCAAUCCUGUUUGCAGCUCUGGGUGAAAGGCUUAAACGACAUUGCCAUGGGCAAGAGAGAUGUGUGGAACAGCCCUGCUUGGGACGUUGUCACUUGCUCGAUUUGGACUUAAACUCUCAUGAUAUCCGAGAUGUCUUGAACAUCCUUUCGUGAAAUACCCUCAAGCACUGAAUUGCUGCAGCUGGGAGAAACCGGUUGCUUUUUGACUAAAGCAAUAGAGCCGCUACCUUCGGGUGCUGCGAUGGAAACUGGACGCUCGCUAAUUGCUACCACUGUUUGCUCACAAGGCUGCGUGUUAAUGAAGGGUCUACCCCAAUGUCUGCUACCACAAAGAGGAAAUGAGAAUUCGUACUGCUGAGGGGCAUAAUGUGCUCAGCCACGCAUCACCCGUCAGCAGACAGGACAGGAAGUGUCGGUCACCUUUCUUCAUGCUUGGAGAAUCUUGGUUUGAUGCUUGGGAUUUGCACAGGUGUAGUUCAGAACUGUGGUGAGGCUUCAGCUCCGCUCCUCCCAGCUUAGCCAGAACUUCAGUUUGCUUCAGCCAUCUGUGUAAAGUGAGCACCUCUAAACAGACCGCAAGACUUUUGAACUCAAAAUACUAUGCUUUGUUAAAUCAAAGUACACAUGGAAUCUAAAAGCCAUUAAGAUGUUGGCUUAAGAGUGACUAGGAUCAAGCUGAGAGUGUCCCACAGCGUGGCUGCUUGCAUUGUGCUGUCCGUGCUGUGACGGAGGUGCUCACUGUGGAAGUGACUAAAGGCCUGGGGAUCAUUUGGCAGCUGGACCUACCAGAUGAGUGUGUGCUGAAUGUGAUCCAUCGAAUCUCCAGGCCACCAGCAGCGGGCGUCAACCUCAUGGCUGCCAGUGGAAGGUGAGCUUGAUGCUGUGGGGCGGGGGGCACUCAGCACCUCUCCCCCCAGGGACACCAAAUCCCCACACAGCAGCUUUGAGCUGUCAGCUCCCAGCUCAGGGGGCUGCUAAAAUCAGAGCUAAAAUCAGUAGGAGGGGUCUUCCCCAACGUGGAAAGGAGCUUCAGGCUUUUGUCUGAGCAUAUGUGAAACUGUCGUAUUCAGAGUCUGCUGUAGACAAACCACUGCCUGUUUCCACAGGAAGAACAAAUGGCUCUCAGUAAUAAAAGCUGUCAUCGCUGGUUCCAAAACACAGUGACUAUAAAAGAAAAGAUAAUCUAGAUUUAUUUUGGGCAAACCUCUUCAUCGCUGUCUCUGGAAAUAAAACAAAACGCUUGGCUGUGCUGGCACCCCUCUAUUGCCCCUUGUUUACACAUCUUGUGAGGCAAAGGAGAAUGAACACACCUGUGAGCUGCUGCUGGUUUAGCAAUGAAACGAAGGACUGCUUGCCUCUCCCUGGAGGCAUUCAAGGCCAGGCUGGGUGGGCUGUGAGCAACCUGGUGUGGUGGGAGGUGUCCCUGCCUAUAGCAGGGGAUGGGAACAAGACGAUCUUCAAGGUCUCUUCCAACCCAAACCAUUCUCUGAUUUUAUAAUUCUAAGUCUUUCCAUUUAGACAAAAGAACUUGUUUCUUCCCUGCAUUCCUUUCUUGCUGUUACCAGUCUGUUUGCCAUUUCAGUCCCCUUGCACAAACACAGCUCUGUAAAAUAUUGUGCUCUUGGGGGAUUUACUGCAAGUUGUGGGUUGUUUUUUUUUUUUCCUCAAUAAAGAUUUUGGUUUUCGAGCUUCAUAGCCUGUAUCCAAAUUUUAUUCAGAUUUUGUAGCCACCUAUUUUUAGUUUUGGUUGUAAGAGGUAUAGGACAUUCUGAAGAAAUCUCGUCACCAAAACCAUUCUCUGCCAAACAAAUUUCAAAUUACAGAGCUUGGACUCAGUGGGGAUUUUUCUUUGUUGUCUCAUAAGCUGUGCAAAUAGGCCCUGCUGCAGUGGUUUUCUGUCUAUGCCAAGCAGCACUUCGUUGCUUUGCAGCCACGCAGUGUCCUGGUGCAUGCUGCGUUGCACUUCACAGCACAGUGACUGACAAGCUCUUCUGCUGAUUCAAAUGAUGUGGGACCAUGGGAUACCUUUUUCAAGACUGGUGUGAUGCUGCUUGUGCCUACCGAACCUCACGUGAACUCAGAAUUGUGAACUGUGCUCUUAAUCUGAGGCAGUGUUCGUUUACAUUCUCCUUCCAAAGUAGUCACACUUCAUUAUUCCAAAAACAUGUGAAAGAGAUAGGCUAUUUUCAUUAGAGUUCUUUGGAGCUGUAGCCUGUGGGUUCCAACUGGAGUGCUUAUUCAGAGCCAGUAAUUCAUUGGGUUUAGAGGAAUGUGGGGAGUAUACCAGUGUUGGAGAACCAUCUAAAGCAAGUCCAGCAUUUUUUAUAUUUCUUAUUAAGACUUCUUACAAAUCAUGUGAAGUUGAAGCACUGUUUUCUUUUAAUCAAAACUGUUAAAAGCCAAAUAACACAUGGAGCUUAGAUGUGUUGCUGUGAAUUGUAAACGUCUUUGAUGUCACCACAUGUUUUAGCAUCCAUCUCCAAACAUAAGUCUUGGAUUAAUUUGGAAUGUAGAUCUUCUGCAUUGUGUGAUAUGGUGAACUCCCCAGCCCUGUCUGUUGAUGUAGAUGACUGUGUAGGUUGAAGGGUGGUUGCUCAUGGCUGUCGCUACUGCUGAUGCCCAGCCUGGGGGCUGGAACAGCCUUCUAGGGAAUCAGAAGAGAUAGACACUGGGAGAUGUACUGUAGCAUUAGCCACCUUCUCUUUUCAUGACUGUAUUUAUCGUAUCCAGACAAAACUUGCUUCUCUUGGUAUGUCCUUCAAACUUGGUCUUAUUCCAGUUGGUAUUAGCACAAGUCUGGAAACCCGAAGCAGAUGCCCAAUGUUCUUAAAGAGAAUUAAACUUACUAAUUUCAGUAUCAAGUUAACAGGUCUUAAAUAUGACCUAAUAUCUGUUAAAGCUUUCACAUUUUCUCACUGUCUGUUACUGGUCUUUGGAAGAAGUCAGCAUUCAAACAUGAGGCAAGAGAUGAAUGCAAGGUGAGCACAGAACAGCUGUGCAGAGCUAACUCAAGUGAUGGCAAAUAUGCUUAUGCAUUUUGAUACUCUGGCUAAACACAAUACUGUGAACAGCAAAAGAUAUGCAGCCAUGCUUUCUAUUGUGAUAAAGGAAUCUGAGAUCCGGUUUCAAGAUUGCGAAAAAAAAAUAUCAUGAAUGUUUUGGUUUAUUUCCAACUCCAUUUUCAGUUGGCAUAAAUACAUGACCUGUGAAUUUUCAAGUGGAAUGUAUAGAGUUGCAAUGCAAAAUGUGAUCAUGUCUUUUUACCAGACUUCUGUAAGAGAGAAACAUCUCUCUCUUCACAGCCACACCUUGUUUGUGUCACCACUUUUUGGCAGUGCGUCCACUUGUGAACAACUGUAGUCAAGACUGAAGCUCAAGAAGAGUAAAAUUUCAUCAGAAAUCUCUGAUGAGCACUCUGAUGAACUUUACUGUAUGACAACAGAGGUUGAACCUUCUGCCAGUAUCCUGUUAUGUGUUGUUGCUGCAUGACAGAUGGCAGCAGAGGGGCAGCCUGACAGAAUGGCAUCCGACAUGGAAGUGCAGAUGAAGGAAAGACGUGUCAUUGAAUUCCUCCAUGCAGGAAUAAAGUUGCACUCAUUGGCGCUCAUUGAUAGUUGGUGAAUGUUUAUGGAGACCAAAUGGUGGAUGUGAGCACAGUGAGGAAUGGGUGGUGCAUUUCAACAGUGGUGACAGGGACAGUGGGUCACCUCUGCUGGCGCAGGUAGUUACAAACAUGGCAUGCAGGCUGUUAUUCAUCACUGGUGAUAAUGCAUGGCUAAUAGUGCUGUGUUGAAAAAAUGUUGAAAAAUGGCUGCCUGAAAGUACUUUCUCCAUUCAAAUGCCAUUGACAGUAUUGGUUACGUGCAACAAAAAGGCAGUAUGCACUGGCACGCACUGACUCUGAGAGUUUCUAUCACCUUGUUCAAACUCUUCCUUUCUAAAGAAAAAGAAUAAAAAAAUAGCAAAGUAAAAGAUAAAUUCAGAGCCAUAUUUUGCCAGAUAUGAGACCUUACAACAUGUAACCCGAACAAGGACAUGUGUGCAAGUGAAUGCAUGCAUUUAGAUCAUCCAUGCUCACAGGCUUUGUAUUGGUGACGUGUGAUUUACUGAAGUGUGAUUUGAAAGUUUGUUGCUGCUAAUUUCUGAUUCAACCUAUCACCCUAUGUCAGUGUUACGUACAGUGCUGAUGUUGACACUCUUUUGAGAAACAAAAGAAAAAUCACACCAAGAGACGUUAUGGGAGAGGGCCCACCUACUGUAGAGGUGCCAUUGUUGACUAAUUUUAUACUGAAUUAAGAUAUGUUUGGUUAAACUGAUUUUUCACUGUAUUCCCGUUGCAUGGCAUUUUUCCCUUGGUAGUAACUGAUGAACUAUACUCUGCUGCUUAUUUUCACACUGACAGUUUUUAAUCCAAGUAAAAGCUCUGGUAGACUUUUUCUUUCCUAGCACUGAGUAAGGACCACUGGUGAGGACUGCGUUAGAACUGCAGUUCAUACAGAUGGAUGUAAAUUAUAAUAGACUGCAAUGCUGAGAUCUAAUCGUAAGAUCUUCAUUAACCUGACUGUAAGAUCACAGCCAUGUAUUCUCCCAGGAAAAUGACCUUGUGGCCUCCACAGUACCAGCUUCCUAAAGCCACGCUCAAGUUACCGUGUUGCUGAGGUGGAGCACCCAUAGGAAGAUCUCUCAUCUGUAUGGAAAAGAAUGAGCACCACUUCAUAGAUCUGAGCAUACUAAAAAAAAAGAAAAAAGAAAAAGUAAACUUUCAAAUUUCAGCACAGUUAAAAAUUGCCUGCACCAUCCUUUUCUGUAGCUCUUUGCAAGGGCAACUGACUCUUUUCAGAUUCCAGAGCUGCAUUUUGGAAGAUGAAUUCCAAGUUUUCCUCCCACUCUUCUAUCUGAAAAACAACAACGACAACAAAAAACAUUCAUAAAGGCCAUGCUGGAAAAUAGAUGAAGAAUUGCAAUUUUUUCCCUAGAACAACUGAGCUCCUGCCCCAUAGUCAGUGGCUGCUGUGUAAUCACCCAUCAUUCCUCUUCCCUUCUCCUAAGGGAAUUGAUUACUCAGCAUAGACAACUUUGUAUUUUUGUUUUGUUUUGUUUUGGCAGCGGGGUAAGGAGAGUCAGAGUUGUCCCAAUUGCGUCAGCACUCUUUCCAAUGAAAGAAAGAAACACAUUGCAAGAAAAAGGAAAUUCUCAGCCAUCGUGAGCUUAAAGAAUAACUACCUGUUUGGUCACGCAGCUCCGUGCCAACCAAUGCUGUGAAUGUAGUCAUUGCCCCCAAAUUCCCAGCUAGGGAUGGAGAACAAAAAGCUGAAAGUCCAAUACUGCCUAUGUAAAAAGAAUACACAGUGGGACCUACGAGUUUAAGGAGGCUUCCACUGAAGAGUAAAAGAUAACUAGUGUAAAUGCUGAGUCAUGGCAUGAAGCAGUGAUGGAGCACCUGGUGGGAAGGCAGGGCCAACCCAGGGGAGCUCAGGUGUAUGCAAUGUACCUGAGAGACCAGAAGGGUUGAGCCAGGAUCCACUCCUUCCCAGACCUCAUUUACGGGUUGGCAGUGGAGGCAAGGGUAUUUUGCUGGAGAUUCCUGCCUACCUGAGACUUUCUGAAGGUAAGCAGCUUCUUUCCUUUGUUUCUGUGCCCGUGGUUGUUGCAUCUGAGCAAAUCCUCACUUACUGUAGCCUAGGACCUUGCUACUCUACUAUCAUUGCUGUGCUUUCUGUUGUGUUACAGUAACUCAAUUUAUUUUUUUUAAUAUUCCUUAUUGUAAAGCGUCUUAAAACAUACUUCCUCUUUCAACUAAUUGCUUGUUUUCAUACUGUUAGUACUGAUAAUUCCAGAGCAAUGCCAUUUUAGUUGGUUAUUUCUUUUGACUUCAGUUGUUUAAUCUGACUGCUUGCUACAUUCAAAUGCUCAACAUAAAUUUUAACUGAAGUUAGACGUUAAGAGUCUGGGCUCUGACUCAACAACUCAACCCAAGACCAAGAUUCUGGGCUCUUUGAAAACAAGUUUGGACUUAUAAACUAUGCUCUUCCUCUGUAGCUGCUUUUAUAACAUUUGUUUGACAAAUUAAUACAGAUAAUACUGGAAACAUAGAUGUGAUACCAAUUUUCUCCCUUUUCAUCAUAUCUACUAGGAGGCCAUGACACUGUAAGGCAUUGUUACCCCAACAGCAGAUGUGCAGUUCAUCUACAGCCUCUGAAGUUACUGCAGAUACGUGGGGAGGUGGGUCUAUUGUAGUUGUAUUUAGUUGCAAUUGUAUGCGCUUUUAUGUAGUAGCUCUCCUCCAUUCAGUGAACUAAGAGAUCAUAGAAUCACCAAGGUUGGGAAAGACCUACAAGAUCAUCCAGUCCAACCAUCUGCCUAUCACCAUUGACAUUCGUGAAGACAUUUUCUACAUGUGAUUUAUAGCUGCCCUCCACCUUUCGUCCCAUCGCUUUACCAGCCUUAUCAACUCUGGGAUUUGGUGGCAAGAAAGAAUUUGAAGAUUUAAGAUCCUCCAGAGCCCACAGUGUGGGAACUGUAUGAACACGACCUGCAGAGCAGAAAACUGCAACCAGAAACUCCCGACGCUGUCAUACUUUCCACCACAAAAUUAUCAGCUUUGAUUAUUUUAUAUCCUUUGAAUGACUCAGAAAUCUGGCAGUGUCCGAAGUGUGAGCUUUGCUCGUAUGUCUGCAGUGGGUGGAAGGGCAGAGUUUGAUGUUAAAGAGACAUCUAGUCCAGUAGGAAAAUUCUCUGGAAACAAAUUUAAGGAACUGGGAUGGAAGAAAGAGUCCAUCGUUACCAAGUUCUGAUCAGAGCUCCAAAGUCUCAGGACAGACAUAUAUAAAAGUUAGAAUUAAAACAUAUGUUAUCUAUUAAUAGAGGGAUACUUUAUGAUAAAAAACAAACGUGUGUGUUUUUACUCUUCUGUGCCAUAUACCAAAUAGGACACAUUACCCAACAAAACUGUCUGCUCUCCCUGUUAAAAUACGAAUUUCUAGCCGUAUCACUCAAGUUGUAAUGAAGGGAUUUAUCUGCUUAUUUUCAUGAGGAAAAAGGAUUUUUCCCCUGAUGCUGCCAGAUGUCCCAUGUGCUUCCAAACAAAAGAUUUAAUCCAGUUUCACACGUGAAAUGUACAUGCUCUACAUUCUGUGUGCUAUGUGUAAGACAUCUGGGUGCUAGCUGGUGGAUAUGUGAUGUAAGCUGCAGUUUCAAAGUAGUUAACAACUUCUAAACAACCUGGAAAACAACCUCCAGGCUUCUCGAACGAAACAAUUGUUUAAUUCUUUUUUUUUUUUCAUCAAAUAAUUUUGGCUUUAAUUCUUAUUUCUAAAGUGAUGAUUGCGGAGACAUAAAGCUGCUGGAAGUGGGAACCUGUAACACACAUUGCGAAAACACCAAUGGAAGUGGAAGGGUUGGGCUGCUAAACUUGUAACUGGAAAACCAAUCACAGCAGUGAAUCCAGUCUGAUUCUCUUACAAGGAGAAGACAAAUCAGGAGAUUUCCAGCAAGUCUCUGACUCUGGUGUAACAUUAGCUUUUUAGGUAAUUAUAAUCUCAUCUAAUGCUGCUGCCCUUAUCAACAAACACAAAAAAACCCACCCUGCAUGAAUUUUGUGUAUGAAAGGCAAAAGCUUUUUUUCAGGACACAGGAUUUCAAGUCUUUUUCAAGUCCCAUUUGAACAACCAGUCCCAACACAGCUGGAACAAUCCCAAAUAAAUCCACUCUGCCUUCCUAAUUCUCCAGUUUGUCACCUGAAUCUCAAGGAGCCAGGAGAGAGCUUCAGACAGCUCAAUGACACGCACACCCUUCCCCCCAAACCAUUUGGGUCAGUUGGGACAACAGAUGAGCAGUAGCCCCGGUGUUUAUUGUAUGACCUUUUACAGCUGCCAUAAAAUGGCUCAUCCUCCUCCCCCAGGGCUGAUGCAGACAUUUAGUUUGGCUGGUGGUGCUGGCAGACUGCUUGCAUGAGUAGCCAGAAGCUCUGCAAUAGUUUUGGACCAGAGCAUGGCUUAGCUCAUAACUGGGCAAAGCGACAGUCUACCGCAAAGGAACAGAAAGAAAAGAAGGGAAAAAUAAUUCUGCACAUCAUCUGUAGCAGCCAGUGUUCUUGUAUGGGUUGCGCACUUGAGCACGCCAGCCUGUGCUAACAGAAGCUGGAUGGCUCUACCAUGCUGAUAGAAAAUGGGCAAGUGUGAUGGAACAGCCAGUGGGGUAAGCUACGUGGCCAAAAAAGCACAGGCCAAAACCAGACAGCAGUGCAGUGUCAGUGUCAUUAUCUGUGUCCUGCACAGAUCCUUCCCACGACUGAGAAAACAGUGCCUGUCAAAGAGCUACUACAGGACGUCCAACUUUGUCAGGCAGUGCCUUUGGAAGGCAGCCAGUCUUGUGAGCACCUCGAAGUGACACCCCUGUGCUGGGAAGCAGCACGGUGCUGUGAAUCAGUUGCCACAGAGGUUUCCUUCUGAAGGGCUUUCCUUGCUUUGUAUAGGAGCUUCUGUGUUCGUGUGCUUACAGCCCAGUGGAUCACAAAGCAGCUGGCACCCAUAGGAGGACGUGGAAGGAGCAACGUACAUUGUUCUUGUUUUAAUGUAAAUUAGCACAAAUCUUGCAGAGCAAUGUCCUUUGCAAACAAGAAUAACUGCUAAAAGUCAGCGUCAGUGGGAGAGUCAGAGCACAACAGAAGCUUUCAUGGCACUUUGUUCCCAGCUCUUGGAAUGAGGAGUGCAGCAACAACUGUCUCAGUAACACUAGACAUACCAGCAGGGCUGGGAGAGGUAAUCUUGUGUUGGGCUGAAAGCAAAAAGUUAUUGCGUUUGUGUUUGCUUGGAAGCAAGCAGACCCUGCAUGCUCACUCUUGGCAAUAACACAAUAAUAUUUCAGUGUUCUGAAAGCUGUUUACACGUAUGAUACUUUAAUGCUAUUAACAAGAAAGACUUAGAAAUGAAAUCUGCUGCACAAAUGAUUGCUCUGCUGAAUGCUCGCUGUCUUCAUCACUCUGCAUGCCCAGGUAGCAUCACCUACUCUGUUGUUAAGAGGCUCUGCAAUUUGUGAAGUAAGUUAUGAUACAUGAGGUGAGAAAAACAAAGUCAAGUCAUUAUGAGAAAAGUAUUCUUACACAUUACAGGCUGGCAUUUUAUAAUCUUUAUUCAAAGAGUGAGGCAUAAGAAAUGAAGCAGACAGAUAAGUGUGAAAGUAUUGUCAUGCUUUCAAAGCCUGAAGAGUGUAAGAUUACUCUUCCUUCCCUUGCUCGUGACAAAGUCCAAAACAAUUAUUGAAACUUGGAAAAAUAGUUUUACCUUGUAGUCUUCCAGACUGUAUUUGCUUGACAAAAGUUUUGAAGAAUGUAGCUGUUACAUCAGCUCGUAGGCUAGAGAAACUUCCUAGAUGCGGAUUUGCUCAAAGUACAUUUUCAGUUUCAUUGCAAUUUAGAUUGAAGUUUUUUUGUGGGUGAUUACCAAAACAAAGCGAGCUUCUCAGUAGUUCUGCCAUAGGUACAGCUCCUCAGCUCCAUCUGUGAAUGGUAAAAUGGUGCAAAAAAUGUUGCAUACUUCACAACUUCCAAAGCCUUGGCAAUUCAACCCAGCAUCAUCCAGUCCCUCGCCAGGGUGGGCUUCCAGCGAAGCUAUGCAAUGGCCCCGUUCCUCCAAGGUGUUACCAAGCAGUUCUCUAGGAAUAUUUUCAAAAUGAGAAGCAAAUGGUUCAGCAAAGAUACGGAGGCUCUGAGCUGAGAUGAACUCUGAGGUUGUUUGCAAGGAGCCCGUUUUAGACAAAGGCCAUACGUCAAAGUGCCUCUUUGCAUUACUAUCGUCAUACACACAAAGAACUACAGAGACAGACGUGGUUGUGUGCUCUUGUGAUUCAAUUCACAAAAGUUCUUGCACUUCCUGAAAAGUCCAUAUGAUAUUACAGUAGAAAAAUAGUAUUUGUGAAAAUAGCAUCUUCAUAUUCUGCAAUUCUUUGCAGGCAGAGUAUUUUUGAGUCUGUGAGCAAUAUAUGUUAAAAAUAGUGGCUGCAUCAGGUAGCUAUAGUAACCAACAUCUACAAAUAAGCGACAGAAGUGCCUGUAAGCUGUCCCAAGUGAUAGUGCCUGAAUUUAUGUUUUACAAAAUGAUGACUUCACUCAUUGCACGUGACUCAUAAAAGCUGUCUAAACAAUGCAAGUAGCUUGUCUAGCUUUCCCACACUGUAUACCUUAUUCUGAGUUGCUUCCAGCUUCCAUGAGCCUCCAGUUUUCAGAUCAAAGCUUGCCAGGUUCAUUCUCUAUAAAGUUGACCUUAAACUCUGAACAGGAGCUCUACAAAACAGAUGAAAGGAAGAGGAGUUACUGUAGACUUAAAUACAGAUACAGUUGUUGGUAUUUUUAAAAGCUAUUUAUUUAUUAUUUAUCCUCAGCUUCUUCCAAGCAAGUGAUUUUGGUCAAAAAGAGCAAUUUAGGAAAACCUGCACAGCUGGGUGUAUAGGAAGCUGUCCCCAGGGAGGACUUAACAAUCCCCAUAAAUAAGCAAGAUUUGAACACAUGUUGGCUGACAAGACAUACAUGUAUAAAGACAUUGAUAUGACUUCUGCAUACGGUACUAGAAAGAUGACUUUUAAAAUACACCCAGUUCUCAUGUCCAGUAUUCUCCUAGCAUUAAAAAUUUGGAGAGGUCUUGAAGUGGUCACAAAAUGUCUGCAGCCAAAAGUAGGGCUAAUGAGAACCCUUCAGCCUAGUUAACUUAUCCAAGAGAAGGCUGGGAACUUAAACGUCAGCUGCAAGUGUUUACAGAAAUCUUAAAAGAGAACAUUCGUUUUUGUUCUAAGUAAAAAGUAUAAUCUCUAAUCACAACAUAAUUUGCUUAGUAAUGCUCAUCUUAUUGCUUGGAAAGGGCUUCCUUCACAGAGAGAGGCCUUUGGUGAAGUUCUGCUAUAUUAAAUACAUGAGCUAGGCUACAUAUUCUACCAUAAGUUAUCAUGGCUCAUCAAAGUGGACAUCAUCAUGGAUACCAUCAUAGACACAGAAGAUGGCCAGAGAAGUUACUUCUAACUGAAGAUGUAAUUAAACCUUUGGAAUUGAAGCCUGCUUCCAGGCUGCUUGGGUCUGCACAAACCUGACACGCAAGCACACUACUGGUAAUCAUUCUUCCAACCAGUCAUUUACUGCAGAUUUUAAGGUAGUCAAGCUUCAGAGAAUGUGAAAAAUGUGCAAAAUGUGAACAGUGAUGUACAGCUACAGAAAGGACGACAUGCUUGAAAGAGUUGUCAUGACACUACAGACAGCAGACGGACUGACCACUGGCUCCCUGACCUUGUGAGGACUGGAAACCUUCCUGUCCAGUUCCAAACAGCACAAUGAUAGUAAGGACUGCACUUGUUUUGAAACAGACCAUCUGUCAUCUCAUCUCCUUUCCCAAAGUUACUGUAUCCUACAUCACAUGCUGAGUUUCAAUCGCUCAAGAUAUUCAGCUGAGAGAUACCAGCUUUUAUCAGUGCAUUUCAUUUUUCCUUUUCAUUACAACCAUGACAAAAUUGUUCUGUGUGUCUCAGAAGAAAUCCUAUCUAACAAAGAACAGAAUCUGCGUGUUGCUGUCAUUCAUGCAAGUUAGCUUAUCAUAGAAUGGCUUGGGUUGGAAGAGACCCCAAAGAUCACCACGUUCCAACCCCCUGCCACAGGCAGGGCUGCCAACCAUUAGAUCAAGCGCUAGACCAGGCUGCCCAGGGCUCCAUCCCACCUGGUUCCUGGGGCCACCAGGUCUUCUGCUCAUCUGCUCACAUUUUGGCUUCCCUGAAGCAGGAAUUCAAGGGAAGCUUGUGGAAUCAUCAUUCAUCAUUUUGUUUUGGGAUGAACAAUUGCUUCAUUGAGUUAAGUCCUAUUUGUACGCUGGAACCUGAAUAAAUUGGCAACCCCGACUGCACGAUGUGAGGAGAACAACACACUGGGAGAACAUCUGCUGUCCCAACAGUGACCUGGAAGGAAAUUUGACAGUGAGUACUGGGGAUCAGUAUGAGAAAAAUGCUGUGUUGGUGUCUGUUGUGCACUUCAGGGGACUAACGAAGUUAUCUGCCAUCUCUCUGCACAGCAGUCCUCACUCUUUCUUCUUUGUUUGCAAAUCCAGAUGUUGUUACACUGAGAGUUGGCCGGGCGGCUUCCAGUGACUGAAUAGUUGUUGUUGCCCCUCGUUCUGAAAGAUGGAAUUUGUUAAAACUGGGGGCUGCUGUAUUGGAGAUACUAGAAAAAGCUUUCAAGCCUCUAUGGUGGAAAGCUGGGAAUUCUGCGGCCCUUUGUGGCUGACAGUCUGAGAUCCAUGCAGGGCAAGAAAAGUAAACUAAAGCAACUUCAAUGAUUCUCUCAGAUUAGCGCAAGCUAAGAAGUCUCAGCCAUUAUCUGGAGGCUCACUGUGCUUUGAGGUACUGCAUGCAGAAUUAGAUUUAUAUUUGCUUAAAUGAACAGGGAGUCCCAUGGAGGGAUCAUAGAAUCAUGGAAUCACCAGGGUUGGAAAAGACCUCCAAGACCAUCCAGUCCAACCAUCCGUCUACCUCCAGUAUUGCCCACUAAACCAUGUCUGUCAGUACAACACUGAAACACUUCUUGAACACCUCCUGGGACGGCGACUCCACCACCUCCCUGGGCAGCCCAUUGCAGCACCUGACCACUCUCUCAGAGAAGAAUUUUUUCCUAAAGUGCAAUCUGAAUCUCUCCUGGCACAACUUGAGGCCAUUAAUGAUUCCGACCUGGUUAAAAUCAUUCCGUCCAGUUCAACCGUUGUGCAAUCAGCUUCAUUGUAAGAAGAAAGACAAAGAAGUUUAUGGAGUUAAUCAAAAAGUAUACAGAUUUAAUCAAAGUCUGGUGGCGACUGAUAAAUCAGCAACAUCCAGUAAGACGCUCUUCCCUAUUAAUAUGCAUGUGCAGGGACACGUAAUGGUUUAAAAGAUGUGAAAAUACAGCAGUGAAGAACCACAUAUAAAACAGACACAAUUUUUGAGCUCUGAGAGCUGCGCUGAAGCGUUGAUGAAAACGGUAUGUUAGGUAUGUAUCACGACAUAAGGAUGUUUAUGUUCUGGAGUGUUUUGUUUUCUUAACCUUUGAAGUUCAGCAGUUCGGGUGGCAAAGCCUUGGUUGCCACAAGGCCGUGGUUGAAAGGGAGUGUGAAAUGUAUUUUGAGAAUGACUCAAAGCCAAAAAGCAGACCAACAAAAAAGUACAUUCCAGGUUAAAAAAACACUGUGGAGUGACAACGAGGUGCUGUUUUAAGGAGUAUUCUGUGAUAUAAAACAAUAGAGAAAAUACCUUUUAAGAAGCACUCGAUCUAAAAUGUCGUUUCAAUGCUAAUUGAAAUUUAACAGUCUUUAACUAACAGGAAUCUGGGAUGAAACUUUGCCAGAAGACAGGAGCAAGGGAGACUGACAUUAUCAUCACAUGAACUUGUAGCCUGGACUCUGUGCCUUCUCCCCAUCACAAACAAUUAUAAUUCAUUUUUUAAUAUUUAAACAUGAUAAAUCAUUGAAUCAUAGAAUGGCCUGGGUUGAAAAGGACCACAAUGAUCAUCGACUUCCAACCCCCUGCUAUGUGCAGGGUCGCCAACCAGCAGACCAGGCUGCCCAGAGCCACAUCCAGCCUGGCCUCGAAUGCCUCCAGGGAUGGGGCAUCCACAGCCUCCUUGGGCAACCUGUUCCAGUGCAUCACCACCCUCUGUGUGAAAAAUAAAUCUUGAUUUUAACUUCUUGCAAUGAUUUUAAAAUGACUUGCUAAUAGCUGAGGGUAAUUAACACACCUGAAAAGAAUUAUUAGAUAAAUAUUGUAGUUGAUCUACUUAAGUACUUUUAAUUGAAUUAAAUGCUCUGAUGCAAUAAUUUUAUCGAGCUCCGAAAUGAAAGACACGAACAACAGUUGAAGGGAGUACAAAUUUCCUAUUUGAAGACCUACCAAGAGGACACGGAGUGCAGAAUGAACCAUCUCUUUGCAAUCACUGCAUUUUUCUGAACAGCUGGCUGUGUCUUUCUGAUAUUUCCUGCUGAACUGAGUAGCAGAGAUGAAAACGUGAGCAGAAUGUUGAGGUUCCC